GACUUAAAUACGCGACGGGGGGUUGUAAGUGGCAGAGUGGCCUUGCUGGAGCGAUUUGUCUGGUUAAUUCCGUUAAUGAACGAGACCUCAGCCUACUAACUAGCUAUGCGGAGGUAUCCCUUCGCGGCCAGCUUCUUAGAUGGACUACGGCCUUUUAGGCCGCGGGAGUUUGAGGCAAUAACAGGUCUGUGAUGCCCUUAGAUGUUC
rnacentral:ncRNA from 1 species